rnacentral:tRNA from 1 species
GGAGAGGUGGCCGAGUGGUCGAAGGCGCUGGACUGGAAUUCCAGUUACAUCUUCACGGGUGUACGUGGGUUCGAAUCCCACCCUCUCCGCCA